AAAAAGUUCAGUUUAGGGUUUAAAACCCUAACGCUGACUAAAGGGAAAAGUUCAGUUUAGGGUUUAAAACUCUAAUGCUGACUGAAUGGAAAAAGUUCAGUUUAGGGUUUAACAACCUAAUGCUGACUGAAGGAAAGAGUUAAGUUUAAGGUUUAAAACCCUAAUGCUGAUUGAAUGGAAAAAGUUCAGUUUAGGGUUUAAAACCCUAAUGCUGAUUGAAAUGAAAAAGUUCAGUUUAGGGUUUAAAACCCUAAUGCUGAUUGAAUGAAAAAGGUUCAGUUUAGGGUUUAAAACCCUAAUGCUGAUUGAAAUGAAAAAGUUCAGUUUAGGGGUUUAAAACCCUAAUGCUGACUAAAGGGAAAAGUUCAGUUUAGGGUUUAAAACCCUAAUGCUGACUAAAGGAAAAGUUCAGUUUAGGGUUUAAAACCCUAAUGCUGACUAAAGGAAAAAGUUCAGUUUAGGGUUUAAAACCCUAAUGCUGACUGAAUGGAAAAAAGUUCAGUUUAGGGUUUAAAACCCUAAUGCUGACUAGAGGAAAAGUUCAGUUUAGGGUUUAAAACCCUAAUGCUGACUAAAGGAAAAAGUUCAGUUUAGGAUUUAAAACCCUAAUGCUGACUGAAUGGAAAAAAGUUCAGUUUAGGGUUUCAAACCCUAAUGUUGACUAAAGGAAAAGUUCAGUUUAGGGUUUAAAACCCUAAUGCUGACUAAAGGAAAGAGUUCAGUUCAGGGUUUAAAACCCUGAUGUUGACCGAAUGGAAAAGAGUUCAGUUUGGGGGUUUAAAACCCUAAUGCUGACUAAAGGAAAAGUUCAGUUUAGGGUUUAAAACCCUAAUGCUGACUAAAGGAAAGAGUUCAGUUCAGGGUUUAAAACCCUGAUGCUGACCGAAUAGAAAAGAGUUCAGUUUAGGGUUUAAAACCCUAAUGCUGACUAACGGAAAAGUUAAGUUUAGGGUUUAAAACCCUAAUGCUGACCGAAUGGAAAAGAGUUCGGUUUGGGGUUUAAAACCCAAUGUUGACUAAAGGAAAAGUUCAGUUUAGGGUUUAAAACCCUAAUGCUGACUGAAAUGAAAGAGUUCAGUUUAGGGUUUAAAAAUCUAAUGCUGACUAAAUGGAAAAGUUCAGUUUAGGGUUUAAAAACCCUAAUACUGACUGAAAUGAAAGAGUUCAGUUUAGGGUUUAAAACCCUAAUGCUGACUAAAGGAAAGAGUUCAGUUUAGGGUUUAAAACCCUAAUGCUGACUAAAGGAAAAAAGUUCAGUUUAGGGUUUAAAACCGUAAUGCUGACUAAAGGAAAGAGUUCAGUUUAGGGUUCAAAACCCUAAUGUUGACUAAGGGAAAAAGUUCAGUUUAGGGUUUAAAACCCUAAUGCUGACUAAGGGAAAAAGUUCAGUUUAGGGUUUAAAACCCUAAUGCUGACUAAAGGAAAAGAGUUCAGUUUAGGGUCUAAAACCCUAAUACUGACUAAAGGAAAAGAGUUCAGUUUAGGGUUUAAACCCUAAUGCUGACUGAAGGAAAGAGUUCAGUUUAGGGUUUAAAACCCUAAUGCUGACUGAAGGAAAAAGUUCAGUUUAGGGUUUAAAACCCUAAUGCUGACUAAAGGAAAAGAGUUCAGCUUAGGGUUUAAAAUCCUAAUGCUGACUAAGGGAAAAAG
rnacentral:lncRNA from 1 species